rnacentral:lncRNA from 1 species
AGCAUAUUGAAGUUCCUGGGCCAGGAAUCAAAUCUGAGCUAUAGCUGCAACCUAUGGUACAGCUAUGCCAACAGAGGAUCCUUAACCCACUGAGCCAGGCUGGGAUUGAUCACAAGCUUCGGCAGCAACCCAAGCCGCUGCAGAGACAACACCAGCUUCCUAACCCACUGUGUCACAGUGGGAAUUCCAAUAUACACUUUUUAUAGAUCACUUUAGCAAAAAUAAAACCAUUCUAGAAAAUAUAUAUAUAUAUUACAUAUAAUUAUAAAUAAUUUAGUGCACCCAGAAACUUCAUUUUAUAACAAAACGAUACAAACAAAAUAUUCCAAUCUGUAAUGUGAAUAUGAUUACAUACUUCUCAUCAAAGCAAGGUUAUUUUAGAAAACAUAAGCCAGGAGUUCCCAUCGUGACUCAGUGGUUAACGAAUCCGACUAAGAACCGUGAGGUUAGUUCGAUCCCUUGCCUAGCUCAGUGGGUUAAGGAUCCGGCAUUGCCAUGAGCUGUAUGUCGAGACACGGCUCCGAUCCUGCGUUGCUGUGACUCUGGUGUAGGCUGGCGGCUACAGCUCCGAUUAGACCCCUAGCCUUGGAACCUCCAUAUGCUGCGGGAGUGGCCCUAAAAAAAAAAAAAAAGACAAAAAAUAAAUAAAUAAAAAAGAAAAAAAGAAAACAUAAGCCAUAUGAAGACUCCAUCUUGCAUUACAUAGAUGUCUUUAAGUUUUCCUUAGGAACCUACAUAACCUGAAAUCAGCAAUUCAAAGUCAGCCCUUUGUGACUUUAAUUUUAAAAGACUUUAAAGGAAGACUUCUUUAAAUAGAACCCACAGGUGACAUUUAUGCAUCAUGUCUAAUAAGCAGCAAAUCUCAGUUCCACAAUCAUAUUAUGCAUUCUUCAUCUUUAUUUGUGGUAGAUAUCAAGACUGCUGUUCACUGUUACUCUCAUUUGUACGAUGUGUUCUCUCUCUUUCUCUCUGAUUUGCCAAUUAUUUGCAAUUUUCUUGCCCAUUUAAACAAAUCAGGUUUGGGGCUCACUAUUCUCUUCUCCUUUGGACUGGAAGGAUUUAAUUAACACAUUUCUGUUUUAUUUUCUGUUUCACUUACUCCUGGAGCUUUAUUUCAUUGUUCUUUUCUAUUUUAAAUUCAGUUCAUUAUGCCUUUUUUACUUGCUAAGAGAUACCAUUAAGGCUAUACAUUUGUACACCAGAGAGGAUUUAAUUUGUGGGAUUCUUGGUCAUUUUGAAUCAAACAGUCUGUAAAUUUAGUCUGAAUUAUUUUUAACUAAAAAUUUCAUAGAAUAAAUUGUUGCUUGUUUGAUCAUAUAUCACUUAUAUGUGAAUCUAAGAAAAGGAUACAAAUGAACCUAUUUGUAGAAUGGAAACAGACUCACAAACUUUGGAAAACUACGGUUACCAAAGGGGACAGGUUGGGGGAGGGAGCUUGUUUGACUUUUACAUUUCUAAAUUUUUAAAAUUUCCUGAGAUAUAGAUUGGGGUUAGGCAGGUAAAGAAUAUAUCUUUUGCUGUGAAUUUGUAUAUUUAUUUCAUGGUAUUAAGAAAUCUGGCCAGUAUGAGCAUCAAUUUUAGAAAUAUAUCGCACUUUUCUUCAUAGCUUAAUGCAUGCUUAUUGUUUGCAAAUAUGCUAUCAGUCUAAAAAAGUCAUUCUUAGUAGUGUACAGCAGUUGUUGUACCACUAAUACCUGAAUUUGCCAAUCUUCUUGAAUAAUAUCCUCUAUAUCCCACUUACAUUUUAUUGUUUGUGUAUCACUUUUGACAGAAAUAUGGUUAUAAUUGAUCACUGUAGAUUUGUCAAAUUGCCCUUGUAUUCUAUAACUCAUUUUUAUUAUUUUAUAAAACCAUUUUUAUUAUUUUAUAAAAAUAAUAAAGGCUGAAGCACUAUCUUCUAGUGGACUGUCUUUUAACAAUUAUUUUUCUAUUUGAUGCAUUAGUUCUUAAAUUAUAUAUUUAUUUUAAUCAUUGAGUUCAUUUUGCCUGAUAUAUCUUUGCCUAUCCAUUUGCUAUAAUAGCUUUAUCACCCUAGCUGACCUCUCUGUGUUAUUUUAAGCAACAUAGAGCUAAGAUGUAUAAAUUAAUCUAGGAGCCCGUUUCAAAUAGGAAAUGAACCUCUGAUUUAUCAGUGUGGAGUCCUGAGGCUUCCCUGGCCUUUGUUUUAAUCCCCUCUCAGUCCAUGCCAACCUCUUCUUUCCCCAACCCCACAGGAGAAGAGUCUCACUUAACCUAAACAACUGUUUUCCUAGGUUUAUCGAGGUUACAAACACUGAAGCCAAGCAAAGGGGCAGUGGGGCCCAAGUAGGCCAACUCUUCAGCAGACUGUCUUCAAGUAUUACUAUCCAUCACCCUCUCUCUAAGGGAAAAAAGAUUUUUGUGAGGUCCACAACCAGCAAGUUUCAGCUUCAGUUUUUGUGUUUUGAAUUUCUCUGCUCUUUCUCACUCACUCUAGUUCAUUUAUCCAACACAGGUUAGAAAUUCAUCCAAAUGUCUUAUUUACUGAUUGAGUCCUUUCCUGCUUCCCACAAUUCUUACAUGCUUAUUUCUUUGCACAUACAUUUUUCUAUCAUUUCAAUGAAAUUGGGGAAGGAGAAGCUCUAAGGGUUAAAUCUACCAUCUUAAACCUUGUCAAUACUCUUAAGUAUCUAUUUUCAACAAUGAUUUUCUACAGAUACUGGCAAAUUUUUUUUGGUCAAAUUUUCAUCCAAUUCCACCUACUUCCAUAGCAGAGGAUUUGAAGGAAAAAAAUGAACAUGUCCAAUAUCAUAAAAUAAUGCUAAGAAUUUUUAACACUAAAAUACAACAUUGAAAGACAAGAUAGCAAAGCCAAACAAAAUAUUUGUUAUUUCUCUAUAGGACAGUCUGAUUUAAACUUAUUAGGCAAAUAUGAUAUAAACAGGUUUUAUAAAGUAUGCUGGAGAUAAAUGAAGUGUUGCAGCACAAUAUUCAUCAGCACAUGGCCUGGAGGCAGACCUCAAGGGAUUAUACCUUUGAGGCACCAUUGGGUAGCUGUGUGACUUUGGGGAAGUUACUUAAACUCUCUAACAAUUAAUUUCAUUACCUGUAGAAUGUGAUAAGAGUGCCUGUCUACUAAAAUGAGAAGAGGUUUAAAUAAUAUAUGAAAACAGUUAAGCCCAUAAUAGUUUCUCAAUAAAUAUUUCUCAUGGUUAUUAAAAGCUCUGUUUCUUAGAAAGAGGUAGUACUGACCAGAAACAUAGACUAUAUACCCUCCCAACAUUAAUUAUUCCAGUUACAAGAUUUUCUGUAAAGCUAUGUUAUAAGUGAGUUUAAAACAUUCCGCUAUUUGGUACUUAGUACAAAAGCUCAAGAAAAAUGACUAAAGUGCUUUCUCUUGGUCUAAUUUGCAAUUUGUAUUACUUUGUCUGUAGAAAGCAGAGCCCAAACUGGUAGAUUUGGAUAAUUCAAAAUUUUUGGUUCUCAUAUCAUAUCCUAUGCCACAGUAAAAUGAUUUUAUGCUGAUUUUAUGUGAGAAAAUUCUCAUUUUUGAUUAUAUAAAACUUUCACCAAAAAAAAAAAAAAAAAAGUCAUAGGAAGGAGAUUAAAGAGUCAGUGCUAAAGCAGACUCAAGCAAAAACUCACCAUCUGUAGCAGGAGGACUUCUUAAAACCCAGGGGUGUCUUCUUACCCAACUGUCAACACCAGGAAUUGUGCCAAGGGGACAGAUGCUAAAAUUGGAAAGUCUCAUCUAGGGCUUGACAUCAGAGUUCUAUGAUUUCUCUCUAAAAAAGCAUCAGUAACCAUAAUGGCAACAAAGUAUUAAGGAGAAAACAAAAGCACUGUCCUUAAUGAAGAAUGGCUUCCAUUAAAUAGUUAAUACGACUAAAAUUCUAUUAACAAAAAUGAACAUACUGGUUUGUGGGAUGGGAAGUAAAAUCUGUAUUGAACUAGUUUCCAAAAGACCAGGAGGUAUUUUUCAAAUCAUUGGCAACAACAGGGAACAUAUGAUCAAUCAGGAAAAUAAUAACAGAAGCCACCACUAAAAAUAGCUUCCAAUGACAGUGCAGAGUUG